AAAAAGAGUUCUGCAAAAUUCUGUCUUCUGGAUUUUCCCUGACCACUGUCUUCGUGAAUGCACAGCAACAGUGGCUACCUUCACAAGGACCAUCUGCCUGUCAACACUCCAGCACCGAGGGAGAGGGAUGCAUGAGGCCUCACCCCUCGAUGAAGAGUUAUUGGCCAUUAAUGGCUGGUGAAGGCAGGUUAUGUGGUCCCUGUAACUGCUGGUUAACACUAGAAUCCAAAAUUCAUGGCACAGAUCUUUGGAUCAUGACUACACCAAGGACAUAGCCUUCGUGUGCCUUGAGUUCACACAUGUAACUUGGAAACAAACCUUUGUUGUUUUAAGAUA